UUGCUUUUGUGAAAUUGGCGCAAACCAUUUUAUUUUAUUUUAGUGAAUGAAGCGUACUUUUGUUGGAAGCACCAAAAUGAGAGGCUUUAUUUUUCACCAUUUGUUUUGCUUCAUGUGCAUUAUUUAUUUCGUAACACCAUUUUCUUUUUAUCCUUAACAAACCAAGAAAAAGCGGCAUUAUUUACAACCAGUGUUAUGAUCAACUGUGACAGUAAGACGGUAAAAUGAACGCAGACCACCACAACCACAGUUUGUAGACAUAUUUAUUUACGUGCGGCGAAUGUGUGGUGACGAAUUUGAAUGCAUUUCGACUGCAUUUUGUUUUUGCUGCAGCUGAUGGUUGUGUUGUUGAUUUUAACAACCUUCUCCAGUUUAUGAUCCAUUUGCAUUGAAAGAAACCAUUUAUGCUUUCAACGGAGGAUGUGUUGUUUUUGUUUGGCCUUUGAUUUGUGCUAUUGAAAGCCGGACCAUUUCGCAAUGCAUCGCCGCAUGCCUGCUCGACGUUUCAUUCCAAAAGGACAUAGUUUUCAACUGAAUGUAAGAAAUCAAGAAACGAUGAAGAGGAAGAGUGAAUGUUUGUGGAUUCCGUAGCAGACUUUUACGGAUUCAUUUGUGGAUAAUUGUUUCGGUAGACAAUGUUGCAUGUUGCUAUAUAGAAUGAUGCACCUACGAGUUGAGCUACUGCAUCUGCAGGUUUAAAUCUUCCCUAGAAAACAAUGUUCGACCAACAUCGAGUGUUACAAUAAAUAUGCAUAGUAUUUACCAGAAAGAACAGGAAGUAAUGAAUUCAUGGAUUUGUUUGCAAAAAAAAGAAAGUUUAUGUUUGUUAAAAUUAGAGUUAUGAAAUUGUUCUGUGUAAUGUCAGCAUGGAAUUUCGAUUUUGUGAAUUAAAAAUAAUUAUUUGCUUUCUGAAAUUUCUAACUAGCAAAUAUGAAUAAAUAUUAAGUUGCUUAUGAAUGUAUUAGGUAAUGUAGUAUUUUUACUAAGGGGGAAGGAGUUGUAGUGGCUCGGUAACAUAGCCGAACCCUCUGGAAGGGUUCUCAGUGUAGACUGAGUGUACUGUAUGAGAUAGGAUCUAAUGAUGUACUGAAUAAAGCUGAAGUUGUUUUCUGACUAUGAACUGAAA